rnacentral:lncRNA from 1 species
UGUCCAUCUCAGCUGCAACUGUACUUUGUGUCAACCAGUAUUCAAGGGAGGACUCUGAUUGGUUCAGUUAAUCCUUUCAAGCCAAGCCCAUGAGUUGUGCUCUGCUUGGAACAGGGGUUUGCCCAUCCAAUCAGCUGUAUCCAGGGCUAGAGGGAAAGUGGAAUCCCAUGCUUCAGAACCUGCCCUUUCGUAUAACAGGAGCUGAGACCAUAAAAUCUGCCAUGGAUGAGACCACACUGAGUCCUCCACUUCUUCCACCUUGGCUACCCCUGAGAUAGCAAGACCAAUCCUUCCUCUUCUUCCUCCUUCUCAGUCUACACAA